GUGGAAGGCUUCAAGGAUAGAGUGGCCUCUGGGGUUGAUGGGAAAUGUUAAUGCUUCCUGCUAGUCUCUGAUGAAGACUGGGGAAGAGGAUGGAACAUGGAUAUUGUGGGGAUGUGUGCUUAGUGAAGCAUGGCAGCUCAGCUUGACAUCCAGCAUCUCUCUCUCUCUCUCUCUCUCUCUCUCUCUCUUUUUUUCUUUCUUUAUUACUUCACAUUUUCCACUCUUAUUGGAACAUGGAUAAGCCUUCCUUUCUUAUAAGCCAGGCCUUAAGAAGAUCUCCUAUUUCCUCCUGUUAAUGGUGGAGCUUGAAAUCACCUGAUCCAUCACUGUCAGGGUCUAUCCCAGAGCCUAUCCCAGGGGACUCAGGGCACAUGGCGGGGGGACACCCCCCCGAGAACCCGGAGGAAACACCCGAAGCAAAAAGAGAACAUGCAAACUCCGCACACACAGGGCGGUGGUGGGAUUCAAACCCCCAACCCCAGAGGUGUAAGGCAAACGUGUUAAUUUCCUGUAACACAGCUCUGACAUUAGUGCUGGUUUAUAUUAAUGUCAUUGUUCUAAUAUAUUCUUAUCAAUUCUUAUUCUUAUAUCAUUCUUAUACAAUCAUUUUUAUACUAUG
ensembl:lncRNA